GCUUGGAAGCAGCCAUUCAUUUAAAGAGUGCGUAACAGCUCACUAGUCGAGGAGUCGGGCGUGGAUAAUAAUCGGGUAUCAAGUUGUCUACCGAAGCAGUGGGAUCAUUAAUAUGAUCGGUAGGGGAGCAUUCCAGUCAGCGUCGAAGGCGUACCGUGAGGUAUUCUGGAGCGUCUGGAAAAGCAAAUGUAGGUAUAAGUAACGAUAAAGGGGGCGGGAAACCCCCUCGCCGAAAGACUAAGGUUUCCUGAUCAACGCUAAUCGGAUCAGGGUCAGUCGGGUCCUAAGGCUCAGCCGAACGGCGAUGCCGAUGGCAGAAACGGUUAAUAUUCCGUUACUACCUUCAGGAGUGACGUGGAGACGCAGUAGUGACAGUGCCGCCAUCUGACGGAAUAGAUGGUUGAAGGGUGUAGGAGUCGAUCAUGGCAGGCAAAUCCACCAUGAGAUCCGAACCUGAUAGUAUGCCGCGUCCUUCGGGACAAGGCAAUAGUGCGCGUAAGCAUGCUGCCGAGAAAAUCCGCUAAACUUAAUCCUGCAGGUACCCGUACCGCAAACGGACACACGUAGUCGGGAUGAAUAUUCUAAGGCGCUUGAGUGAUUCACGGUUAAGGAACUAGGCAAACUGACCCUGUAACUUCGGGAUAAAGGGUCCCUACCCUUUUAUGGGAGGGCGCAGAGAAUCGGUCCAGGCAACUGUUUAACAAAAACACAGGGCUGUGCCAAAUCGAAAGAUCCAGUAUACAGCCUGACACCUGCCCGGUGCUGGAAGGUUAAGAGGAGAUGUCAUCGAUAAGAGAAGCGUUGAAUUGAAGCCCCAGUAAACGGCGGCCGUAACUAUAACGGUCCUAAGGUAGCGAAAUUCCUUGUCGGGUAAGUUCCGACCUGCACGAAUGGUGUAAUGAUCUGGACACUGUCUCAACCGUGAGCUCAGUGAAAUUGUAGUAUCGGUGAAGAUGCCGAUUACCCGCGAUGGGACGAAAAGACCCCGUGAACCUUUACUAUAGCUUAUCAUUGAAUUUGGGCACGUGAUGUGUAGGAUAGGUCGGAGGCUUUGAAGCAGGUACGCCAGUAUUUGUGGAGCCGCUGUUGAAAUACGACCCUUUAUUUGUUUGGAUUCUAACCCGUGGAUACGGGGACAUUGAUUGGUGGGUAGUUUGACUGGGGUGGUCGCCUCCAAAAGCGUAACGGAGGCUUCUAAAGGUGCCCUCCGGCCGAUUGGUAACCGGCCUUAGAGUGUAAUGGCAUAAGGGCGCUUGACUGGGAGACUAACAAGUCGAUCAGGUAGGAAACUAGAGCAUAGUGAUCCGGUGUUUCCGUAUGGAAGGGACAUCGC
rnacentral:rRNA from 1 species